rnacentral:rRNA from 1 species
GACGAACGCUGGCGGCGCGCCUAACACAUGCAAGUCGAGCGAUGAAAUUUCAACCGAUCUCUUCGGAGUGACGAUGAAAUGGAUUAGCGGCGGACGGGUGAGUAACACGUGAGAAACCUGCCUUUCACAAGGGGAUAGCCUCGGGAAACCGGGAUUAAUACCCUAUGACACACUUCCUUCGCAUGGAGGAGAUGUUAAAACUCCGGUGGUGAAAGAUGGUCUCGCGUCUGAUUAGCUAGUUGGUGAGGUAACGGCCCACCAAGGCCAUGAUCAGUAACCGGCCUGAGAGGGUGAACGGUCACAUUGGAACUGAGACACGGUCCAAACUCCUACGGGGCAGCAGUGGGAAUAUUGCACAAUGGGGGAAACCUGAUGCAGCGACGCCGCGUGAGCGAUGAAGG